rnacentral:lncRNA from 1 species
UCAUCUCUCAUCUCUCUCUAAUCCCUCUCAAGAGCCGCCUCCUCCUCCACUGUCACCACCCUGCGCUGCCGCCGAUGGUGCUCCAAACACCACCCAACUUACACCAUUCCCUUUAUCUCACUACACUAUCUCUGAAUCCAAGCCCCAUAUCCUCUAAAUCUCCACCAAUCUCCUUACAUCUACAAAAAUGUAAAUAUACCCUAACUUUUCUAUUUCAAAAUUGAUGGGGUUCCACACCCCAUUUUCACCUAAGAUUUCCAUAUACGUGUAUGUCAUUCUUGGUUCUAUCUAUUUGUGUUGGUUUCAAGUCCAAACUCCG